rnacentral:lncRNA from 1 species
AUGGUGCGAGUGUGGGGAGCCACGGCCCCUGCCUGCGUCCUCUUCCUCCUGCUGGUGGCCCUGUGUGCCCGGGGUGCCCAGGCUGCGCCAUGGCGACCACCGGGAGCAGAUGAUGACGAUGUUGGCUCUCGAUAUCCAGCUUCUCAGCUGGAUCAUGGUUUGGAGCCUCAGGAGGAUCCCCGAGGCAGUACUGGUCAAGUGCCUCCAUGGAAUCCUGCUCCUGAGCCUGCCAGUAUGGGUCCCACAGGUGCAGUUCUCGUAGGCUCUGGCUACUCGACACCUCAGCCUGAUGUGGACCACGAGCCUCAGGUUAAUCUGCCAGAUGGGACCGAAGGCGAAGGUGAUCCAGGCUCCCAGAUGGGUUCCAGGACUGAAGCUCUGGGAGAUGGCCUGGGUCCUCUAACAGCGAAGGACAAUGCUGAAAUAAGAAAAUCUUCCCCAACAUCCCCUGACAUCAUAGAGGAGAUCAUAAAGGAGUUAGAGGAGGCAGCACCUGGUGGGUAUAUUUCACUCUGUCCGCCAUAAGACUUGGGAAGCUGAGGUUCUAAAUCCAUGUGUGGACACACCGUAACCUACACAGCUUGUGUUCACAGCUUGUUGUGAACUUGUGUUCAGCUCCCGCACAGCGCUGCUUGCAGCUGGGCGAGUUCAAGGCAGGAGGCAUAGCCCAAGCAGUGCUGGCUGCCUUUCCCAGUGCUGGCACUCAGGUGGAGAUGCUGCGUUUGCAGACAUUUCUGCUUCUGCUCAAUCUGCAGUUUGAAUGAUGAAUGUAGAAUGUAGAAUGAUCUACAGUUGAUGAAUGAUUCAAUAAGGAAUUAGGCAAUGUCUCCAGAUCAGCUGCCCUUGUCCCUAAGUGUGUGGGUGACUUUGGGUUGCCAGAUGUCAGCAGGGAAGGAUAAGGAGCAGACACAAACAGGUCCAGGAAAUUCCUAAAGCACCUUGAUGAUAACUUCUUGAUCCAGGUACUAAGGGAGCUGACUCGGAAAGGUGCCCUUCUAGAUUGUUGCUUGUAAACUGAGAAUGUCUCCUGCGUGAAGUGGCAAAUGGCAGCCAUCUUGGCUAUGGUGGCCACAAAGACGUCGAGCUUAAAAUCUUUGGCGGUAGUAAGAAAACUGUGAGCAAAACUUCCACCCUGGACAUGGGGGGAGCAGACUUCAGGCUGGGCAAGGAACUAGUUCAUAAGACUCCCUUGGGAAUCUGCUUCUGAAAGUAUCAGGGACCUUCAGUGCUGGUCCCUUUUCAAGAGCCAUCUCUUGAGCGUGCAGGAGCAGGCUAUUCCCAAGUGUCGAAGUCAAGUGGGCAGGGCAGAAGGCUGGCUUGGCUGAGCAUGGAUCUUCGCUUAAAGCCUAGGUGAAAAACAAAAGUUGUGUGGAUACUGGAAACGAGGUCAGGCAAUGCAGGAGGAUUGCAGAGAUGCUGUUCACCAUUGCAGGGAGAAAAUUCAUGUAGCCAGAGCCGAGUAAGGGUAGAAGUUGGUCACUACUGUGGGGGGACAACAGAAAGGGCUAUUUUAAGGAUGUUAACA